CAAUCCAAAUGCUGUAUCUAUGUUGCCUUUGUCUACUUGUAAAAACCCUAUAAAAGGUAAUAAAUGCUGCUCGGGCAGUCAGACAUCUUUGCACACUGAAAUGACUGGUUAUUGAACUCCCACAAUGUGCUUUCAAUACAU